AGCGAGAGCCACAAUGUAAGAAGGGUUCAGCUCCCUUGGCAACUCCCUGAGUACACUUUGCCUGGUGUUACACACAACAUCCCAAAGGGAUUGUUGCAUUGCUUGUGGGGCUUGGACAAUCCAAAGUUAUUCCCGUGGCAGUGGCAAUCCUAUUGACAGAGUGAGUUGGUCCGAUACUGCCUGUGCCACCGGACAGGCCCAGAAGUGAUGACAGCGAGGGGAUGCACCUCCCAAGGAACCUACUGGAUAACCUCCACAACCACACACUGUUGGCCGCGACAUCCUGAGAUGGGAACUUCCUAACAUGGGCAGCCCAUCAACCGUGAGACGCCACCAAACCUCUUGUUGUUCAUUUUCCCAUUGUAAAUGAGACCAUAAACGAUAGAAGGUCCGUUGCGAAGUAAGAAUAGCCUCGCCCGUAGCCUCUUUAAUAAACAGGGUAUGGGCUACACGGUGAGCCACAGAAACUCGCAAAAGUUGCAUACCAGUCGCUAAUUUAACGGAUAGACCUUGAAGUCUGAUGGGGGCCCCUCAACUCCAAUUCCAACCUAACCUCAACACCAGGGUUUGGGUAACAGACUCAAUGGAGGGCACCAUAGCUGCUCUAGAUUCUGCACUCAGAGGCAACAAAAGACUAGCCGCCUGUCGCCAAUGCGCAGGGAUAUCAGCUAAGAGAGCGACAAUGGCAUUAAUACACUCAUGCCACUUAUGAGAGGUGCAAAGGGAUUGAGCUAGUGGGGUCCGCGGCUGGAGGUAUUGUUCCACGGUUUGAUGCCAUGCCCUGUCGAUUGCUAGACCUGCCUGGUUCGGUGUGUGCAUAUUCUAAAGCAUCUCGGGCAAGAAGAAUAUCCCCAACGUUUUCACUGCUUUACAGCCUAGGAGUGCUUGGUAUCUAACCUCCAGCCCUGGGCGGAUGUUAAUUGAGGGCAGAGUUUUUUUUCAUUUUUGCCCGUCAAUUUUCCAGUCCGAACGGAGGAAUAGGUUUUUAGUCGCGGGAAUAAAAGUAUUCCUAAUCUGUAAGGCGCUGGGGUCUACGCGCCC
rnacentral:lncRNA from 1 species